GGGCGAUUAGCUCAGCUGGGAGAGCACCUGCCUUACAAGCAGGGGGUCGGCAGUUCAACCCUGUCAUCGCCCACCA
rnacentral:tRNA from 1 species